AGAGACUGUCAAAGGAAAGGAGCACAUCUGGUGAUCAUAAACAACAAAGAGAACAGAAAUUUGUCAUUGAGCUGAACAAGGAUGGAGACUCCUGGAUUGGUCUAUGGGUACAAACAGGAAGGAAAUGGGAAUGGGUGGACGACUCGCCGCUGAGAGAAUCGUUCUGGGCUUCAGGACACCCGCACAGCAACUAUUACGCUGCAUGCUGCGAUAAACAAGGAAAAUGGACGAGCAGAUAUUAUGAUAGUAAGAACUGGAUCUGUGAGAAAUAGAUUUCCUGUUUAUCUUGAGGACAGAGGGGUGUGUAGUGUUGGGAUCAACUUUGUCAAAUCAGACCAACUCACAUUUUACAUUUCUUCAGUUGUUCAUUCUGUGUUGCAUCCUGAACAACCUGGAUUACAUAGAUAUUGUUCCUCUGCCCUACACAGUGAACAGUCUGGUUGGAAGUCAUCCACACAACUACAUGUGCACUUACCCUCUCUGCAGAGAGGGAUAUUACAACAGCCUGUUUUCAAAAAGCCUAAGAUGUCACAUACAUGACAACAAGGGGAAAGACGGCUCCUUUCUGUUUCAGUGUUAUUUAAGCCAUUAUCAUAAAGGACAAACCUCAUAGGCUUCUUCCACAGACCACUUACUGAUGUAGUUACACUUGGGAGGAGGAAAGAUUAUGAAUGUGUUUUGGAGAGAAGAAUACACCUGAUUUUGAAUAAGAUGUCAAUCCAUCUUUAAUGCUUGCUUGCAUUUACACUUUUUCCCCAGACAAAAGCUAUCCAAUCCUCGCCUGAUGAAUAGUCAGUAUUAGUAAUAGUCACAUACUAAGGAUGAUAUUCAAUCAUCGCUCUUGUUUUUCUUCAUAAACUUACAACAGAACAAAUUAUAUGUUGAUGUAACUAAUCAUGUAUCUAAAGUUUAUCAUCAUCAUUGAACCAUUAAUACUUGUCACGUCAUUUCAUCUACUAGACAGAACAAAAAUAACUGGUCAACACAUCACAUUUCCUGUGUCAGAGAUGCAUGUGUGAAUAAACUAUAUGGAGAACAUGAA